CUGACACAACGGAGGCACCCUGGGGAGCGGCGGGGGAGAUUUGCAAGGACUUUCAUUUGAGUUACAGGACUCUGAAUCAAGAUUUUGACUGCCCCGACUGCAGCAUUGCCCACCCUGAAGGUCCAAAAAUCAAGAAGUUGGCUUAAUUAAAAAUGUUGGAUUCUUUCCAUCUGCUGUCUGGUUUCAGAACCUUUACGGAGCCACAUUUUCAAGCUUUCAUCGGCAGCUUUGAGGUGGAGAUUUGUUUGUUUGUUUCUCCACUAUGGAACUGGGGUUUUCAUGUAACGGUGUGAUCCUAGGAACCUGGGAUUUAAGGUAAAUGUGAAAUAUUGCAAGAGUUGGCAAUGCUUCCAGACCAGCAGCCCUGUGGCUUCCCAUUGGCCUACUGGUCAUGGUGACAUGGAUGCGUCAUCCUGCAUCCUUCCCGGUUGACUGUUACUAUGGCUACCGCCGGUUUGCCACGUAGAGGCUGUUUUGGAGGAGGCACUACUCGGAGCGGCCAGCUGGGUGGUGCUUGUCAUCAGUUAUUGCUCCAGCUGCUGGAGGGAGCCCUGUGCAGCGCUGUCCCCCACAGGCAGGAGUGUUGUCCCAGCUCCACCUGGUUGCCUGGUAGAAUCACACUCCAGGGAGUGAAAUUGUUUGGAGUCACUUGACCUUUAGAAGCACACAUCACCACAGUGGCUUGUGCAGCUAUUUCACCACAAUGCACGGAGGAUGUUGCAGCUUACUCCUUCCUCUUGGGACAAAGCAUGAGUGAGGCCCAUCAAACCACUCGCAACUCUGGUCAAUUUGAACCUCACUCACCUGCAGCACCAGCCGCAGACCCAGUGGAGCACAGAAGAGUCUGUUUGCAGAUGAUUCCUGGGGAGGGAAUGAAUUAUUAAUAAUGUCAAUAACAUCAUUAUCAUCUAUUUCCCAGGCGCCUUCCAUCCCAAACUGCUUUCAGGGAUACACAUGCAGCCACCUAUGGGAUA